AAUAAAAUAACGUUACGAUGGAUUCAGGUGUAGUGCUUGUAUAGUGCGCGGUCGGCUGUAUUAGUAACGUACGUCUUUUGUUUUCCGUUGUCUUGUACCGUAUGGUGUUCCACUAAUGUUACAAUGUUCAUGUCUAUAUAUAUAUAUAUAUAAUUGUAUUUGUUUUGAAACGUGUGUUAUAAAGGCGAGUGAGAAAUGCGCAUGGCCAUGAUUUGAUUAGUCUGUUGCGACGUAGUGCGCAGUUUCCAGCGUUGUUUCCAACGUUACCCGGAAACAAGCAAGGCAUUUGCUCUCAGCUGCUUCCUUAUAAAAACACGUCUGGGGGAUGUGGGCCUCAUUUUCCUUCGGAGCCAGAGCAGCAGGGUGGGAUGGAGAGGUGUAUGCUGGAUGCUUGCUGCAGGAGGAUGUUGCGCACUUCAGUUUACCUCAGGACCGACAGGAGGACUGGCACAUCCAUCGGUUGUUCUUUGGCCUGACAUCUCCUGACAUCCAAACAUCAAACCCACUGCAGUCGGUUGACCGAUUGAUUUGCUGACUGCUUCAGUGGCACAAGAUAAAGCAGGUAUUGCAUUCAACUCCUUGAGAAAGCUUCAUCAGUCAGAUUUGUAUACAAAUGAAGAAUCAUCUGAUCAAGGCCAGAUCUGUGGUAGGAAGCGCCAGGAACUGAAAGAGGAAGUACACGCAGUAGUGAGUGUGAUUGUGACAGUCAAUCCCCUCACACUGUAUACGAUGUUUUCGUACAUAUAUAAACGCUUGCUCCACUCUGGAAGUCAAAAGUAGUAACAUUGAAUAAGGAACAGCAUGUAUUCUGCAUCAGAAAUCACUUUAGUAACCAACAUAUGGGCAUUACAAAAGCAUCACAUCACAACGUAAACAGAGCGCCAUGUAAAUAUUCCCUUUGGUGCAGAUUCAGAGGUAAAUAACAUCCCUCAUUAGACUGUUUUUUUUUAAUUAUAAGAGCCAAAAGACAAUCUGAGUGCUUAUGCAACUGAUACACAUGCUGGUGAUGUGCCUUUAAAAGCAGUGGCUUGUCAGGUGAUCGAGGAGGCUCAGUCAGCUCAGCCUCACAGACAGAGGAGCCGGUGCGUCUCUAGCCGAGAGCAGAGAAGAGUGCGCCAGAGAGAAGGGCAGCGAAGAGUGAGAGAGACCCAAUUAUAUGGGAGCAUGGUGGAAAUGGGGACACAGCAACGUCACAGAGUGGGGGACAGGGAGCCAUGGUGGUAGGGUUCCCUUUAACUGGAGUCUGCUCAUGCUCACUUGCCUUGUGUGGCAGCUAGCAAGUGUGUUUCAGCUUGAUCAAGAAGUUGCGUUGUGUAGCCACAACAGUUGUAUGAAAGCACAGAGAAUUAGGUGCUGCGUCACACUCGGGAAGAGGGAUGGAGUGAUCAUACGCGCAUGUGCAUUGGCACGCACAGCCGUAUGCAUUUGUGUGGGUUCUGCACUGUGUAUUUGUUAGCUUGCAGUAGCAGUGUAAUAGCAGUUCUGCCGUUGAAACAAGAUGAAAAUAAAGAGUGCGUGUGUUUCAGAGGCAGGCAGAAUAGGAGAGAGAGGGAGAUUCAGGGAGGGAGGGCGAACAAGUCGGAGAGUGAGAGAGAGAGGUUUUGGAUUAGUUGCUACGUCACUUUUUCAUGUCAGGAGAAACAGAAGCUGAGAUAACAAGCCCAGAGUCAUCGAAUUUUUUCACCUGAAGUCGACACAAUGGUUUCGGACAACCUCGUCUUUCACCUCCUCUUCCUCCUUGGGCGGUGACUCAAACUUGUUUUUGGGCACGAGCAUGAGCGUAACCCAUUCCAGAGAGCAUCACAGUUAUGGUCUCUGACAGUCUCCCAAGAUGCCGUCAAGAUUUCCUGGAACAUCAUUUUGGUCCACUCAAAAAUAAGAUUCAAGGGUUUUUUCCACCACAGAAGGAUGCCUUUUGUCAAGAGUACCCCCCUUGGAAGCUGGUUUCAGAUGGUGGCUUAGAGUAUUGUCAUCUAUCUAGCACCAUUUGAAAUCAGUGUUCUUGGGGUGGGAAGUGUAUUUCCCCUGCCAGCAACACGCAGCGGUGUCGUGUCACCAGGGGCGUCCGGAGAUAGACGUAUUCCUCCCUGAAGAACUACUCAGUGGGCUCCAGACCACCGGUCUAUGGGGGAUGUCCUGACAGCUCCAGCUCUUUGUCCUCUCUCCAAGGUUGACCGAUUUCUUUUGGUGUUCAGAGUCUGCUUUUGUUUCUAGCACCAUUUGAAAUCGGUUACAGUGAAGGACAGAUCAUCUCAUCAUACCUUGAGGAGGAUUUUACAAGUAAGCUGUACGCUUUAUUUUGUGGAUUGACUGUAGUGAAAAUUACAAAUUAAACACAAGUACUCUCA